UACGUAGGGUGCAAGCGUUGUCCGGAAUCACUGGGCGUAAAGGGCGCGUAGGUGGCGCGGGCAGUCAACGGUGAAAGUUCGGGGCUCAACCCUGAAUCGGCCGUCGAUACUCCCGGGCUUGAGCACUGUAGAGGCUAAUGGAAUUCCGGGUGUAGCGGUGGAAUGCGUAGAGAUCCGGAAGAACACCGGUGGCGAAGGCGGUUAGCUGGGCAGUUGCUGACACUGAGGCGCGACAGCGUGGGGAGCAAACAGG
rnacentral:rRNA from 1 species